GUGGGGAAUUUUGGACAAUGGGCGCAAGCCUGAUCCAGCAAUGCCGCGUGCAGGAAGAAGGCCUUCGGGUUGUAAACUGCUUUUGUACGGAACGAAACGGCUCUGGUUAAUACCCGGGGCUAAUGACGGUACCGUAAGAAUAAGCACCGGCUAACUACGUGCCAGCAGCCGCGGUAAUACGUAGGGUGCAAGCGUUAAUCGGAAUUACUGGGCGUAAAGCGUGCGCAGGCGGUUGUGUAAGACAGGCGUGAAAUCCCCGGGCUCAACCUGGGAAUUGCGCUUGUGACUGCACAGCUGGAGUGCGGCAGAGGGGGAUGGAAUUCCGCGUGUAGCAGUGAAAUGCGUAGAUAUGCGGAGGAACACCGAUGGCGAAGGCAAUCCCCUGGGCCUGCACUGACGCUCAUGCACGAAAGCGUGGGGAGCAAACAGGAUUAGAUACCCUGGUAGUC
rnacentral:rRNA from 1 species